UUAGGUUAUAAGUGUAGGUUAUAGGUUUAGGUUUAGGUUAGGUUAUAUGUUAAGGUUUAUGGAAUUGAGAAUAGGUUAAGGUUUAGGUUUAGGAAAUCGGGUUCGGGUUUAGGUUUGGGUUUUCAAGUUUAGGUUUAGGUUUAGGUAAGGGAGUUGAGAUUAGGAUUAGGUGUAGGUUUAGGUUUAGGGAUUUGAGAAUACAUUUAGGUUUUAGGUCAUAAGAUUAGGUUUUAGGCUUAGGUUUAGGUUUAGGUUAUAAGUGUAGGUUAUAGGUUUAGGUUUAAGUUAGGUUAUAGGUUAAGGUUUAGGGAAUCGAGAGUAGGUUAAGGUUUAGGUUUAGGAAACCGGGUUCAGGUUCGGGAUCGGGUUUAGGUUUGGGUUUUCAAGUUAGGUUUAGGUUUAGGUUAGGGAGUUUAGAUUAGGAUUAGGUGUAGGUUUAGGUUUAGGGAUUUGAGAAUAGGUUAAGGUUUAGGUUUAGGAAAUCGGGUUCGGGUUCGGGAUUGGGUUUUAGGUUUGGGUUUUCAAGUUUAGGUUUAGGUUUAGGUUAGGGAGUUGAGAUUAGGAUUAGGUGUAGUUUUAGGUUUAGAGAUUUGAGAAUAC